AUGGACCAAGAAAAGGGUAUUUUGAUUGGGAAAUUUAUGACUCUCUUGACAAGACCAAAGUUAUUUGUAUCUGCUGUCGCUGUGAUUGGAAUUGUCACAGACUAGUCGACGUGCCAGAGAAGUGAGAAGCCCAUCACCCUGCUCCUGGUUGUCAUGGUAACAGUAGACCACCCCUCUUUGGAUGGAACACGUAUGACUGUUCACCGUGCUGAAGACAUCUAAUAGGGUCGCGGGGGCAUGCUGGAGCCUGUCCCAGCUGACUUCGGGCGACAGGCGGGUACACCCUGGACUGGUCGCCAG